rnacentral:rRNA from 1 species
GACCGGUAGAGAGAAGCUUGCUUCUCUUGAGAACGGCGGACGGGUGAGUAAUGCCUAGGAAUCUGCCUGGUAGUGGGGGAAUAACGUUCGGAAACGAACGCUAAUACCGCAUACGUCCUACGGGGGAAAGCAGGGGACCUUCGGGCCUUGCGCUAUCAGAUGAGCCUAGGUCGGAUUAGCUAGUUGGUGAGGUAAUGGCUCACCAAGGCGACGAUCCGUAACUGGUCUGAGAGGAUGAUCAGUCACACUGGAACUGAGACACGGUCCAGACUCCUACGGGAGGCAGCAGUGGGGAAUAUUGGACAAUGGGCGAAAGCCUGAUCCAGCCAUGCCGCGUGUGUGAAGAAGGUCUUCGGAUUGUAAAGCACUUUAAGUUGGGAGGAAGGGCAGUUACCUAAUACGUGAUUGUUUUGACGUUACCUGACAGAAUAAGCACCGGCUAACUCUGUG